CAGCCGCAUGCAGCCUUACCUCCCAUGAGGAAGAGAAGCCCUGCCACAUACUGCAUAAGGCCUCGAUCCCAGCAGCAGCCCAGGACACCAAUGAUCCAGCCGAAGAGGAUGAUGGCCACUGCCAUGCCCAUGAAGCCAGCUGUCAUUCUACGCAGAUCUGUGAGGAAGCAGGAGGAAAACAGUUAGCAUUAGAACACGUGAUACAGUAAGGUCACGGGUACCCUAAGCUUGGGGUAGGGAGAAGAGGGUAGAGGCACUUCAAGGGCAGGAAGACUACCUAUGGAUACCCCUACCCAGGAGAGAGCCACUGGUGGUGACUGUCUUCUGCACAAGUGUGUUGUGACAGCUGGGUUCCUAAGCACAGGGCAAGCACAUCAUCCCCUGUGGCUGUCGGCUCACUUCAUCUGCACUAGGCAUGUGCUGCUCUUCCUGUGCGUCUGUCCCAUCCUGAAGAGACGGGUGCUGUCUCUAGUGUGGAGAAUAGAGCAACUUGCUAAUAGUAGCACAGUACGUGGUAGAGAAGACUCGAACCCAGAUAGUGUGGUUAACAGCAUUAGCCUUUUAGAGACAGGAGAGCAUCGAGGUGGGUUGCUGGGAAGAGCUGGGCUUCUGCAGACUGGCUGCCCUCCCUGCUUUAACCCAGGGUCUGCUGGACUGGUUCUCUGCUCCAUCCCAAGCUGGCUCUUGGGGCAUAGUUUUGCCCGAAACCUUGGAAACAGAGGAAGAGCUGCAUCUCCCUCGCUUCAUCUGAGCCCCUGGAGCAGGCCCCUUCCUUGCAGAAGUUACCUCUGUCCUCUGACUCUAGGGUCUGCCCCAACGUCACAGCAAGGACUGUGCCUGCUCUAUACAUCUCUGACCUGUCUGACAAAGCCAGGAAUGACUUGGUGAGGAAGGAGGUUGCUGGAAAAAAAAAUGCUGUUUGCAGCAGAAGGGAGAUGGAAGGGCUGCUCCAUAUCUCUGCUGGCUACUUAGCAUCUUGCCCAACUCAGCUUCUUUGCUGGCUCCUUCCCCUGUGUGGCUAGAUGUCACCAGAGCUACUGUCACGUGCUCCUUCUCCAUGCGUGGCUCUGGCCUGGACUUUUUUCUUUAUCUCACCCCCUUUCCAUAGAACUGACUCUUUACUUCCUGGGGAACACUUCACCCAUCACGUUGGUCACUCCUUCCUGAAUCUGCCUGCCGCCCCUACCUUUAAGGCAGUAUACCAGCCCUAGCCUGCUAACAGGGCUCUAAGCAAGAGAAAAACAAACAAACAAACAAAAAGCCCAAAAGAACAACAACAAAAACAAACCAUUUUUCCUGGCCUCUGCCCCAGACUCUGAAUCCUCUGCAGCAUCACAGAGCAUCCUAGAGGGUCUCAAGGACAUUUUUCCUCUCACAAAGGAAGGGUACAAUGUCAGGGUGAUGGAGAAAGUGCCUGCCUGGAAUCAAGGUACCUCACAUCCACUGCUGCCCCAUCUCUCUUCUUCUUGUCCCAGAGGAACAAACGCAACAGAGUCCCUGUGGGCAUAGGGACCUGAGUCUGUCAUAAGGAGGCCAUCCCUCCAUCCUUUCUGUCUCUUACAUUCUAUCCACUCCUACCCUGAGUCAUGAAACACAUAAAAGGGACCUCUGCCUCCAGCAGAACAUAGCUUGAGUCAAGAUCCCUCUCUUGCAGAGUCUGGUCUCUUUGUUCUGACAAGGAAAAUCAGACAUUGUUAUCCCAGUCAAGAGAAGCUGACUAGAGAGAGAGGCACACACACAAAGGGAAAACCAUCCAGGCCCUCCCAUGUGGGAAGGUGACACCAGCAGAAGCUGGACAGUUCCCUAGUCCCAGAGGCAGAGAUCCCUAGAGGGGCAAAUGAGAAGAUUCCUACCCUGCCUGCUUCUCUUUUGCCUUUCUGAGCACCUAGCAGGUCUGCCCCAGCCAGGUGGAAAUGACACUCUGUAUUCACUUCUGUGAGUUGCUAAGGAUGCCUCAUUAUCACACAGCAGUGUGCAGAUUGUUCAUACUGCCAAGUGAGUCGGGCGAAGCUUCGCUGAGAGAGCCAUUUGAUGGCAAUGUUCACGUGCAAGCUCAGCCUCCUGCAUAGCUAGCCAUAGCUGAAAGGAUGGACUAUCCCUGCCCAUGGGCUGCCCCAGUCCCUGUGGGACACCUCCUAUGGACUGAUACUGUUUCUCCUUUCAUUCCCAGCUCUACAGUCACACUAGUGGCCACCAUGGGAUUCCUUCUUGCCUCACCCUAAUGGCCUGAUCAGACCUGUCAGCAGAGGCAUGUGAGGCCAUGUCGAUUGAUUCUUAGGAACAGGUAAUAUGUGAUUAAUACUUUAACCACUGUUUGCUUAAUGGAAAAAGAAAGAGUCCAGCUCUACCACUGGGAAGUUUAGUACCUUAAACAGAAGGUACUAAAUUCAGCACCCUCUCCUGGGUUUUUCCUUUUUCACCCAGUGAAGGCUUCUGGGUCCUGCUCUUAUAACCCCAGUAAACCUACCUUUCCUGGAGGUCAAAUACUCACUUGGCUUUAAUGCUUGGAAGUCCUACACUGGCCCCAGACUAUAGACCCUUGGGAGCAAAGCUAUUGCCUAAGGGGCUGAGUGGAUGGUGGGUCUCAUCACGUGAGUUCACACUGGACCUGUGGGUUGGUGAGUCAGGACAUCUAAAGAAAAUGCCAACCAUAAAAUUAGGAGGUGACAUUUAUUGAAGGUUGAGAGCAAAGUGUUCUACUUAUAAGAAAAUGGGCGGGAGCAGAAAAGCAGGCAAAUGGAGAAAACAAUUGCUGUUCUGAAAGUUCCUGGCAGAUUCCAAUGAUCUGAGUGUCAGGUGUUUUGUGUGUGUGUGCGGGGGGCAGUUGUCUUCUUUCUGUCUCGGCUUAGGUAAACUUCUGUGUCUCCCACAGGGUAUCGUUGACUUAGGUAAAGGGUUGCUCUAAGUUGUUGAUGUGGAAAUAGGAUGAAAAACAGAGGUCCUGACUGCGUUGCCAUUGACCCGGGAAAGAUUUUCACAUCACUCUUGAGUCUGGCUUUGUCCAGUCUCUGUGUGAACAACCAGUUCUUUUCUCCUUAGAGAGUUAACCGAGUUAUCUGUGUGGUAGCUCAGGCAAGCUACUAUAGUAGGUCAGAAGGCAGGCAGAACAAGAAGCAUGCCAAUUUUACAGAUGAGAAAAAGGCAAAACCCAAAGACAAAUAAAUAAGUUAUCAAUGGUCUCCAAGCCAGGGGACUGCAAAUAGAGUUAACAGCUGCAUCAUUGAAUUGUGCGAGGAAACAGGAUAAAUAAAAGAAUUAAAAUUGAUGUGAGCAAAUGCGCUUGGCAUUCCUUCUCCUAAAAUCAAGCCAGAACUGUAGCUAAGAGACAGGGAACAAAGGACCAAAGACGACAAGAAGGGGGGGCCUUGACACUGCUGGGGGGGGGGGAGCGGGCUGAACCCAAAGGCAGUGUCAGAGAAACCCUACUACCUAGCCCCAUGAAGCCUCAGGUUCCAACUCAAGAGAGGAUGGGGAGGGAGCUGGGAGGGAAGAAGUGAGAAAAAGAAAAAGGGUAUAAAAAUAAUAAGGAUGGAUGAAAGAAGACAAUGUCUAGCUUUAAUUUACACACAAAAUCUGGUCCAUGGAGCACUUGGGAAUGUUUGAAUGUAGAGGCAUUAGAGUGUAAUGUGUCUGUUGUUUAACAGUCUUUUUGGCUUUCUAUUUGCAUUUGAGUUAGUGCCAUCUGUCACUCUGCCGUCAUAUGCACAUGGUGCCACAGCUCUUCUACCUGCCUGCCAUCUUUCUCUUUAGGAAUAAGAAACUACCACUCAAUUCCCACGGUUUCCUUGAACCCAUAGUAACAUCCUUUAAUUGGGAAUUUACACAGUUUGUAUUUCUCUCUCCAUCAUUUAACGACUUAAGAAAAAGGAAAAAGAAAAGAAGAAAAGAAAGUGAAAAGUGUCUUCACUUUAGGAAGCUCUAAGUCACCUUUCCUGGCAGCUUUAGAAAACUUUUGGUUGGCUAUGAUGUGAAAUCUGUGACAACAGUCUCUACUGUCACACAGAGAAGAGCAUUGGGUGAGGAAGUUUGGUUCUGCAGACAAUCAUGGAAAUGAAAACUCUCAUGGACCAUGUCGGGUUUGAGUCUGUUAUCUGUGUUUCCUGAGCCUCACAUUUAAUGUUCCAGUGUUUGAAAUUAGGAAGGUGCAUCCUAAACUCUUGAAUCUAGUCCAGAGUGAUGGGAAGAGGCGGGCCGAGGGAGGAGGGCUGUGAUAAAGGAUGGAGGAAGAAACACAAGGAGAACCAUUAAGUAAAGCU
rnacentral:lncRNA from 1 species